rnacentral:rRNA from 1 species
AUGCCGACGUGGAGGAAGAGAACGGUAAGAAGUGGAGAAGUGGAGAAGUGGAGGUUCACUGGUAUUUACGGGGAGUCUAAGUAUGGGGAGAAGGAGAAGACGUGGAGACUACUUCGAAACCUUCAUGCACAGUCGUCGUCGUUGCCAUGGCUUUAUGUGGGGGAUUUUAAUGAUAUUUUAUUUGAUGUGGAGAGGGAAGGCGGGCCGACUCGGGCUCAGGGUUGUAUGGAUGCUUUUAGGAAUUGCUUGGAGAUAUGUACUUUGGAUGAUUUAGGUUUCACUGGAGACCCUUUCACUUGGCAAAAAAGUUACACGAGGGAGAGAUUGGAUAGAGCUGUAGCAAAUGUAGCAUGGAGGUGUAUGUUUCCUCUUCACCGAGUUAUUAAUGGUAAUCCUCGUCAUUCAGAUCAUCGUCCAGUUAUUAUCGAGCUGAACGCACAAGAUUUGAACGGCGAAAAAAGGAGUGAACCAUCAUAUUUUUGUUUUGAAGCUAAAUGGUUGUAG